rnacentral:tRNA from 1 species
GCGGAGGAGAUGAGCAAACCGCUAGGCUCAACGGCCUUAAAAGCCGUCAAACCCCUGACAAGGUUUUGUGGGUUCAACUCCCACCCCCUCCGCA